rnacentral:tRNA from 1 species
CGGGGCGUAGCGCAGCCUGGCUAGCGCGCGUGGUUUGGGACCACGAGGUCGCGGGUUCGAAUCCCGCCGCCCCGACCA